AUUGAACGCUGGCGGCAGGCCUAACACAUGCAAGUCGAGCGGAUGAAGGGAGCUUGCUCCUGGAUUCAGCGGCGGACGGGUGAGUAAUGCCUAGGAAUCUGCCUGGUAGUGGGGGAUAACGUCCGGAAACGGGCGCUAAUACCGCAUACGUCCUGAGGGAGAAAGUGGGGGAUCUUCGGACCUCACGCUAUCAGAUGAGCCUAGGUCGGAUUAGCUAGUUGGUGGGGUAAAGGCCUACCAAGGCGACGAUCCGUAACUGGUCUGAGAGGAUGAUCAGUCACACUGGAACAGAAACACGGUCAAGACUCCUACGGAAGGAAGCAGUGGGGAAUAUUGGACAAUGGGCGAAAGCCUGAUCCAGCCAUGCCGCGUGUGUGAAGAAGGUCUUCGGAUUGUAAAGCACUUUAAGUUGGGAGGAAGGGCAGUAAGUUAAUACCUUGCUGUUUUGACGUUACCAACAGAAUAAGCACCGGCUAACUUCGUG
rnacentral:rRNA from 1 species